GACGUAGGGUGCGAGCGUUGUCCGGAAUCAUUGGGCGUAAAGAGCGCGUAGGCGGCCAGAUAAGUCCGGUGUGAAAGUCAAAGGCUCAACCUUUGAAUGCCGCUGGAAACUGUCUGGCUAGAGUCCGGGAGGGGCGAGUGGAAUUCCUGGUGUAGCGGUGAAAUGCGCAGAUAUCAGGAAGAACACCCGUGGCGAAGGCGGCUCUCU
rnacentral:rRNA from 1 species